ACUCAGUAGUUAGAUAACAAAACUACUCGCCAGAAUACUACGAGCUACAGCUUAAAACUCAAAGGACUUGACGGUGCUUUACACCCCCUAGAGGAGCCUGUUCCGUAAUCGAUAAACCCCGAUCCACCCCACCCUCUCUUGCUCAGCCUAUAUACCGCCAUCUUCAGCAAACCCCAAUGAAGGUCACAAAGUGAGCGCAAACGCCACCACCGCGAAUACGUUAGGUCAAGGUGUAGCCUAUGAGAUGGUAAAAAAUGGGCUACAUUUUCUACCUCAGAAAAUUCCACGAAAGCCCUUAUGAAAUUUAAGGACCCAAGGAGGAUUUAGCAGUAAAUUAAGAAUAGAGUGCUUAAUUGAACUAGGCCAUAAAGCG
rnacentral:rRNA from 1 species